GGGGGUGACAGGUCUCGACAUGGUCUUAUAGUCGCAGAGCAGCAUGCAGAGGGUUCAGGUGGCCUCUUAAAAACCUGAAAAAAAAUAAACGCAAAAUAUGAUCCAGUAGCCGAAGCCGAGAACAUCCUGGCUGAGGAUGCGUUAUAUGCUCCCACAAUGAUGGGAACAGGUUCUUUAGUAAGUGCCUUGGGAUACUAACAGAACUUAAAUUAUGCAAGGACUCUUGAAGUGAUAUCUCCUAACUUCAAGUAGUAUUAGGAGACUGCUCUGAAGAAAGCUCCUGUUUGUUGGAAUUUUUCAGAAAAGAUGAAAGACAAACUAAGCAUGUAGAUACUCUUUUAUUAUGGUUCAUGGACCCGGGUUCGAAUCCCGGCACCUCCACCA
rnacentral:tmRNA from 1 species